CAACACCAUUCAUGGGAGGUAAAGUUUUAAAACUUCAGAUUUUUUUUAUUUUUUUUUGUGUUGUUGUGUGAAUGGAUGUGAUUUGAUUGAGUUUAUGUGACUGUAAACAUAAUUCUGUUGUGAUAAUAAAAAAAUUAAAACAGAAAUGAAACUUUGAAGCUUAAAAGCUUAUGUGCGGGGAAGAAGGUUGUUACGUGUACAAAAUUCAUGGACAAAACGUUAAUUUAAUUUUAGUAAAACUGAAUUACUAAAAGUGAUUUAAUAGGAUUUACAAUUUGAUUAAAACUAAUUUAAUAGAAUUUGAAAGUUAAGGUUUCCUUAAAAAAAUGAAGAGAAUAAAAGGAAGAAAGGUAAUUAAUAAAGAAGGAAAGAUAAUUAAUAAAAGGUUAGGUAAUUAAUAAAAGAAGUAAGAAUUUGUUUUGGAAAAAAAAUUAUUACUAUUUAAAAAUAAUUUAGGAAAUUGUGUUUUUAAUUUUUUUUCAUUAAAUAUCUUGUAAUAAUGUAGAUUUAGAAGUUUUAUUUUAUUUUUUCCAUUGAUUAGGUUUAAUUAAUGGUUAUGUUGUAAUAAUUAAGUACAUUCUAAAUUUAGAAAUUUCAUUUUUUUCCAUUGGUUAUGUUUUAAUAAUAAUUAAAUACAUUUAUAAGUUUUCAUUUUUCCAUUGUGUUUUAAUAAAAUAUUAGUGUUGCGGAGAGUAAACUUUUUCAUUUUUCCAUUGGUUAUUUAAAAAAAAUUAAAAGGUGAUAGGUGUACAAAAUAAAUAGGUGCUGUAGAGAGUAAAAAACAUGGGCAGCAGAUUGGGCCAAGUGUUUUCAAGAAAAUUACAAAUAGUGAUGUGGGGAGUGUAUAAAUUAAAUAGAGGUUGCAUAGAGUAAACGUGAUAGGCAGAAGAAUGGGCCUAUAUUUUUCAUUAAUAUGUUGCAAUUAGUAAUCUGGAGGGUAUAGAAAACAAAUAAGGGUUUCAUAGAGUAAAAGUCUUGGAAAGCAUAAUGGGCCCAUGUUUUUGAAGAAAAUGUUACAAUUAGUGAUGUGGGGGGUGUAUAAAUUAAGUAGGGGCUGCAUAACUUGAACAUUAUUGUAUCCUAUUCGUCUAGGAUUUACAAAUACAAAAUUCUUACACUAACACAAUAACUAAUUACAUGAAUUAGUAUGUUUUAAAUAUUUAACAUACUAAGUUUAAACAAUAAAGUUUACAUGUGACAUAUGUAGUGCAUUGGACCCUGAUAUCCACAUGAUUCAUGUAUUAAAUCGUUUGUAAGGUAUAAGUAUACUAUUAAGUAUUGAAAAUUUCAUCAUCAACAUGCAGAAAAAUGGAUCGAGAUUUUAUGUAUGAAAUGCUUGAUUCUUGAAGAAGAUUGCUUCAUCAACAUGCAGAACAAUGACGUUCAUGCUUUUGUUUCUAAGGCAAUGAAUCAAGUUUCAUACAUACCAGAUGGAGGGGUAAGGUGGUCCGUGUGUGAAAUGUUAUUGUGAGAAAAUUGUCAAACCUUCUCAUGUCAGGAGUCAUCUGCUUCAACAUGGCUUUCAACUCAACUACAAGGUAUGGAUUUCACAAAGAAGCAGGGAAAAAUGAGGUUAACUUAAACAUUGCAUUAAGUGUGAUGAUGACUUUGGGUCAUUAGCCGAAAUGGUGAACAAUGCAUACAUGCAAGAAAGUGAUAUAAGAACUCGUUAUGUCAAUGUUAUCAAGGAUGUAGAACAAGAACCUAACGCUUAAGAACAAAAAUUUUAUGAUAUGUUAAUAUCUACUCAUCAACCCAUUUAUGAUGGAGCAACUUAGUCUAAAUUGUCAAUAGUCGUAAGGUUUUUGGGCUCUAGAACCAAUUGGCACACAACUGAAAAGUGUUUAGAUUAUUUCAUUGAAAUGUUACUUGAUGUAGCUCCAACAGAGAAUUGCAUACCUAAGGCUUAUUAUGAAACAAAAAAAGUUAUCUCUACUCUUGGGUUGAAGGCUGUCAAGAUUGAUUGUUGAGGUUGGAUGCAUGUUGUAUUACAAGGACGACAUCGAAUUAAAUGAGUGCAAAUUUUGUGGCCUUCCCAGGUACUUGCCUCCAAAGGUUCAAAACAAAACAUACAAAAGAGUGUCGAUAAAAAAAUGUUUUAUUUGUCUAUCAUACCAAAAUUUCAAAGAUUGUAUACGUCAAUGAAGUGAGCUAGCCAAAUGCGAUGGCAUUUUGAAAACAUAACUAAUGAUGAUGUUUUGCGUCAUUCAUCUGAUGGGAAAGCUUGGAAAAACUUUAAUAGUGUAUAUCCCGAAUUUGCAGCUGAACCCUGUAUUGUAAGGUUGGGACUGUGAUCUAGUGGAUUCACUCCUUAUGUCCAAGUUUUAGCAUCCCCAUAUUCUUGUUGGUCGGUAUUUGUCACCUCUUAUAACCUACCCCCUGAAAUGUGUAUGACGAAGCCGUACAUGUUUCUAAGUUGUCUCAUAUCUGUUCCUAGUAACCCAACAAAAGAACUAGAUGUAUACUUGCAACCAAUUAUUGAUGACCUCCAAAAUUGUGGUCUGCUAGUGUUUUAACUUAUGACAUAUCAACAAAAGAAAAUUUCGUCAUGCGAACUUGUUUGAUGUGGACAAUUAAUGAUUUUCCAGCAUAUGCGAUGUUGUUUGAGUGGGGGACUAAAGGGAAAUUAGUUUGUCCUUAUUGUAUGGGGGACACAAAAACAUUCACACUAAAGCAUGGAGGUAAAAGUUCCCGGUUUGACUUUCAUGGACGAUUUUUGUCAUCCAAUCAUCCUUUCAAGAGGAGUCAGGGGAGAUUUCUUAAAAAUAGAGUUGAAAUGGAUGGCCCACCUUAUGUCUUAAAUGAAAAUGAAGUAUGGGAGAUUCUUCAUAAUUUCCCAAAAGUGACAGAUGGUCCAUAUUUUGGGAUCUGCCAUUUUAGAAGGACAAAACUUUUUUGAUAAUGUUUUCAACACUGUAAUGGACAUUAAGAACAAAACGAAGGACAAUCAAAAGGCGAGAAUGGAUGUUGUUGAAUUGUGUGUUCGUGGAGACUUGGAGUUGGUUUAAUUACAAAAUGGAAAGUUUACAAAGCCAAAGGCUAACUACACAUAAUUAAAGAAAGAUGCUAAGUCAAUUUACAAAUGGAUCACCAAGUUGGAGAUGCCAGAUGGUUAUGCCUCUAACAUUGCAAGGUGUGAAAACAAAGACAAGGGAAGUAUGCAUGGUAUGAAAAGUCAUGGCUUUCACGUUUUCAUGGAGUGUUUACUACCAAUAUGUUUUCGAUAAUAGCCAGAAUUUGUGUGGAGUGACCUUGCUGACUUAAGUCGAUUCUUUAAAGACAUAUGUUUUAAUACAUUGAGGAUGAAUGAUCUUGUUAGUAUCGUUGGAUGUAUGCCUUUGAAAGGUAAGCAUCAUCUUAAUUAUUUUAAUGUUUAAGAAGGUGUGCAAGUUAUAAUAAUGACUGCUUUGCUUUAGAAUGAUGAGAGAUGCAAAGAAAUUAGUGGGUAAUUUGGCACGAGUAGAAGGAUCAAUAUAUGCAUUCUACCUACAUCGAGAGAUAACAUAUUUUUGCUCUCAUUAUUUCAAACGUGUCAGCUUGUUGUCAAAUAGAAAUUUGAAAAAUGAUCCUAAAACAUUUACGAAUGAGGAAAACCCAUACACAUUGUCAGUUUUGAAUAAAUAUGGACGACCAAGUGGUUCUAACAAAGACUAUUAGUUCAUUGAUGAAGAACAUCGUUCUACCCAUGUUCAUGUCCUCAUCAAUUACGAUAAGGUCAAACGAUUUCUUUAGUAAGUUUAAUUGUACAUAAUUUGAAUUAAAUUAUUGUAGGUUGUAUAAUUCGCUAACAAAUUCAAUCAAUAUUUAAAGAUUGUUCUUAAAAGUGUACUCAAUCAUGACGAAGAUACUUGUAUAGUCAUACAUGCUAAUUUUCCUAAAUGGUUCAAGAGCUACGUAAGUGUAACCUAAACCCAUAUGUGCUUCUUAUUAAAUCGCAAUAAAUUCAAUAAAUGUAAUGCUUUCUUAUCACUAAAACACAGGUUCAUGAUGAAAGGAAUGUAAUGAACCCAAACUUGAAGGGACUUUCUUCGGGACCUAAUUCAAAGACAACAUCAUGGAACAUGUACUUCGUUAAUGGAUAUAAGUUUCAUACAAAGGCAUGGGCUGAUGGUAAGAAAACAAUAAAUAGUGAGUUGUAUGUUAAAUGUGUCACUGGUGGAAGAGAAUACGACUUUUACGAUACAAUUCAUGAUAUAUAUAAAUUGGAGUAUGUUGCUCUCAAUAAAAAGAUCCUGUUAUUCUAUUGUGAAUGGUUUGAUCUUACAUUUAAUGUUGGGACUAGAUUUCAUUCACAAUAUAAUCUAGUUGAAAUCAAGUUAAGUGGAAGAUAUGGGCUCUAUGAUCCAUUUAUUCUUCCAAAGAAGGUCAAACAAGUUUAUUAUGUCACUUAUCCAAACAGUUGUAAAAACCUUCAUGGAUGGUGCAUUCCAAUUAAAACAAAACCCCAAGGACAUCUUCAAGUUGACAACAUCAACGAUGAAUUGCCGUAUCAAGUUGAUGAGACGUCUAAUGUGUUACCAGUUACAAGAAUUGAACAUUUACAAUGUUUAGCUGACACAUCUAAUGUCAAUGUAGUUCAUGACGAUGAUGAUAUUGAAGCACAUAAUAAUGACGAUGAUGAAGAUGUUGACCUCUUAAAUGAAGAUUAUUCGAAACAUCACAUAGACAAUGACGAUUCAGAGUUUGAUAACAAUGAUGACUGAUGUCUAUUACUUUUAAUAAACUAUAAACAAACAUAUCAUCAUUACAUAAUUAUGCUAAUAUUAUGAACAAAUAAUUUUCAGGAAAAAUGGUUAGGACUAGAGGGAGGGAUGGUUCCAUUGUUAGGCGUGGCUAGCCGAGACGUGGAGUUUCUACAUCGAUGCACGGUCAGCUAGCUAUAGACCUAGGAAGCAUCCCUUAUUCUGGUAUAUUUUAUCCCAUUCCUUGACACCGUCUUCUAGCCCGUCUUCCUCUACCCACUUCUCCUCUGACCAUGGACCAUUUUGGUAUGCUUAUCCACACACCACUAUAUCACCUCAUCACACACAUAUUUCAUCAUCUUCACACCCUCCUAGUAUUCCAAAACCACUAGGGUCAUCAUUCUCUAUUCCGACUUACCAUCAGAGUGUCCCUGCACCACUCCACCAGACUUGGAGUUUUUCACUCCAGCCUAUCCCUGGUACAUUUUUGCAGCCCA
rnacentral:lncRNA from 1 species